rnacentral:rRNA from 1 species
AUGAAGAAGAUCAAGAGUGGAAAAGAGCUAGUGGAAGAAGUAAGGAAGAUUGAGAAGAACAUCAACGCUGGCAGCACUAUUUCUUCACAACUUGAGUUGAGUGUGGCUGAGAUAUCCAUGGUUACAUGUGAGGUUCCAGCACCUUCACAUUUCGUUGAGCAAGAUAGCAAGUGCCUUGAGCAAGAGAUACCUCAGAUUGAAGAAGAUGAACUAGAAGACAAGGAACAAGAUGGUCAAGAGCUGCAAUUCCCAAGUGAUCAAGUUGAAGACUCAUCAUCUAUUACUCCUGAAGAAGUACAAGAAGCUGCUGUAGAUGAAGAUGAAGAACAUGAGAUUCAUUUGCCUAUUGUCAUACCAGAGCGUGAUGUGUCAGGUUUACUCAAUCCUCUUGAUGACAUGAUGCCUUGUGAUUUCUUUGCUACCACCUUGCAUUACAUGAUACCAUCACUUAAGAUUGAUUUGAAAACUCAUUUGCUUGGAUAUGAUGAUAUAUACCCUGUUAGUGGCAUUACUCUCAUUUGCGAUGAUCAUAGUUACUUUCCUCGUGCUAGCAGAAAAGUGCGACAAGGCACUAAUGUAAACAGCUGUUUGCUCUGUUUAGUACUUGUAUAA